rnacentral:rRNA from 1 species
UCUUCUGAUUUCAGCGGCGGACGGGUGAGUAAUGCCUAGGAAUCUGCCUGAUAGUGGGGGACAACGUUUCGAAAGGAACGCUAAUACCGCAUACGUCCUACGGGAGAAAGCAGGGGACCUUCGGGCCUUGCGCUAUCAGAUGAGCCUAGGUCGGAUUAGCUAGUUGGUGAGGUAAUGGCUCACCAAGGCGACGAUCCGUAACUGGUCUGAGAGGAUGAUCAGUCACACUGGAACUGAGACACGGUCCAGACUCCUACGGGAGGCAGCAGUGGGGAAUAUUGGACAAUGGGCGAAAGCCUGAUCCAGCCAUGCCGCGUGUGUGAAGAAGGUCUUCGGAUUGUAAAGCACUUUAAGUUGGGAGGAAGGGCAUUAACCUAAUACGUUAGUGUUUUGACGUUACCGACAGAAUAAGCACCGGCUAACUUCGUGCCAGCAGCCGCGGUAAUACGAAGGGUGCAAGCGUUAAUCGGAAUUACUGGGCGUAAAGCGCGCGUAGGUGGUUUGUUAAGUUGAAUGUGAAAGCCCCGGGCUCAACCUGGGAACUGCAUCCAAAACUGGCAAGCUAGAGUAUGGCAGAGGGUGGUGGAAUUUCCUGUGUAGC